GACGAACGCUGGCGGCGUGCUUAACACAUGCAAGUCGAACGGAAAGGCCCUGCUUUUGUGGGGUGCUCGAGUGGCGAACGGGUGAGUAACACGUGAGUAACCUGCCCUUGACUUUGGGAUAACUUCAGGAAACUGGGGCUAAUACCGGAUAGGAGCUCCUGCUGCAUGGUGGGGGUUGGAAAGUUUCGGCGGUUGGGGAUGGACUCGCGGCUUAUCAGCUUGUUGGUGGGGUAGUGGCUUACCAAGGCUUUGACGGGUAGCCGGCCUGAGAGGGUGACCGGCCACAUUGGGACUGAGAUACGGCCCAGACUACUACGGGAGGCAGCAGUGGGGAACAUUGCACAAUGGGCGGAAGCCUGAUGCAGCAACGCCGCGUGCGGGAUGACGGCCUUGGGGUUGUAAACCGCUUUCGCCUGUGACGAAGCGUGAGUGACGGUAAUGGGUAAAGAAGCAACGGCUAACUACGUG
rnacentral:rRNA from 1 species